UACGUAGGUGGCAAGCGUUGUCCGGAUUUACUGGGCGUAAAGGGCGUGCAGGCGGUCUGUUAAGUUCAGGGUGAAAGCUCCCGGCUCAACUGGGAGAGGUCCUUGGAUACUGGCAGACUUGAGGGAGGUAGAGGAGAGUGGAAUUCCCGGUGUAGUGGUGAUAUGCGUAGAUAUCAGGAGGAACACCGGUGGCGAAGGCGGGUCUCUGGGCAGUAACUGACGCUGAGGAGCGAAAGCGUGGGGAGCGAACAGG
rnacentral:rRNA from 1 species